GACGAACGCUGGCGGCGUGCUUAACACAUGCAAGUCGAGCGCUGAAGGCCUGGCUUUUGUUGUGUUGUAUUAGUGGCGAACGGGUGAGUAACACGUGAGUAACCUGCCCUCUUCUUUGGGAUAACUCCCGGAAACGGGUGCUAAUACUGGAUAUUCACUUAUCUUCGCAUGUGGGUUGGUGGAAGAGGUUGUUCUUGUGGGGUAUGGGCUCGCGGCCUAUCAGCUUGCUGGUUGGGUGAUGGACUACCAAGGCUUUGACGGGUAGCAGGCCUGGGAGGGUGACCGGUGAAAUUGGGACUGGGCUACGGCCCAGACUCCUACGGGAGGCAGCAGUGGGGAAUAUUGCACAAUGGGCGAAAGCCUGAUGCAGCGACGCGGCGUGAGGGAUGGAGGACUUCGGGUUGUAAACCUCUUUCGCUAAUGGUCAAGCAGGAACUGUGGGUUGUGGUGAGGGUAGUGGGUAAAGAAGCGCCGGCUAACUACGUG
rnacentral:rRNA from 1 species